GGGGUUGUGGCUCAGUGGUAGAGCGCUUGCCUAGCAUGCAUGAGGCACUGGGUUCGAUCCCUGGCACCA
rnacentral:tRNA from 1 species